rnacentral:rRNA from 1 species
UACGAAGGGUGCAAGCGUUACUCGGAAUUACUGGGCGUAAAGCGUGCGUAGGUGGUUCGUUAAGUCUGAUGUGAAAGCCCUGGGCUCAACCUGGGAAUGGCAUUGGAUACUGGCGACCUAGAGUGCGGUAGAGGGGUGUGGAAUUCACGGUGUAGCAGUGAAAUGCGUAGAUAUCGGGAGGAACAUCUGUGGCGAAGGCGACACCCUGGACCAGCACUGACACUGAGGCACGAAAGCGUGGGGAGCAAACAGG